GAAAGUUACAUGGAUAACCGUGGCAAUUCUACAGCUAAUACAUGCUUCAAAACCUGACUUCGGAAGGGUUGUAUUUAUUAGAUAUUAAACCACUCCCCUCGGGGGCUGUGAUGAAUCAUAAUAACUGAUCGAAUCGAGGUUCGCCUUGAUAAAUCAUUCAAGUUUCUGCCCUAUCAGCUGUAGAUGGUAGUGUAUUGGACUACCAUGGCUAUUACGGGUAACGGAGAAUUAGGGGUUCGAUUCCGGAGAGGGAGCCUGAGAAACGGCUACCACAUCUACGGAUGGCAGCAGGCGCGAAAAUUGCCCAAUCCCGAUUCGGGGAGGCAGUGACAAGAAAUAACAACCCAGAACAUUGUUUCCGGGAUUGCAAUGAGAACAAUUUAAAAACCUUAUCGAGUAC
rnacentral:rRNA from 1 species